AACUUUUGACAAUGGAUCACUUGGCUCUCGCAUCGAUGAAGAACGCAGCGAAAAGCGAUAAGUAAUGUGAAUUGCAGAAUUCAGUGAAUCAUCGAAUCUUUGAACGCACCUUCGGCCCUUUGGCUAUUCCGAAGGGCAUGCCUGUUUGAGUAGCAUGAACAGCUCAACACUCACGGUUCCUCGUGAUGGGCUUGGACUUGGGGGCUUUGUUGGCCUGUGGUCAGAUCUCCUCAAAUAACUCAGCUCGCCAGCGUCUGGCGGCAUCAUGGGUGUGAUAACCAUCUACGCUUGUGAUCGCCUGCGAGGUAAACCUCUGGUAUGCAGAGGUUCGCUGGAGCUUAUAGAUGUCUCUCCUCUGUGAAGACAGCUUUCUGAAGUUCGAUCUCAAAUCAGGUAGGACUACCCGCUGAACUUAAGCAUAUCAAUAAGCGGAGGCU
rnacentral:misc_RNA from 1 species